UACGUAGGGGGCAAGCGUUGUCCGGAAUCAUUGGGCGUAAAGAGCGUGUAGGCGGUCCGUUAAGUCGGCUGUGAAAGUCCAAGGCUCAACCUUGGGAUGCCGGUCGAUACUGCCGGACUAGAGUUCGGAAGAGGCGAGUGGAAUUCCCGGUGUAGCGGUGAAAUGCGCAGAUAUCGGGAGGAACACCAAUGGCGAAGGCAGCUCGCUGGGACGGUACUGACGCUGAGGCGCGAAAGCGUGGGGAGCAAACAGG
rnacentral:rRNA from 1 species